UACAGAGGUCUCAAGCGUUGUUCGGAUUCAUUGGGCGUAAAGGGUGCGUAGGCGGCGCGGUAAGUCGGGUGUGAAAUCUCGGAGCUUAACUCCGAAACUGCAUUCGAUACUGCCGUGCUUGAGGACUGGAGAGGAGACUGGAAUUUACGGUGUAGCAGUGAAAUGCGUAGAUAUCGUAAGGAAGACCAGUGGCGAAGGCGAGUCUCUGGACAGUUACUGACGCUGAGGCACGAAGGCCAGGGGAGCAAACAGG
rnacentral:rRNA from 1 species